rnacentral:rRNA from 1 species
GCAGUCGACGGACUUCUUUAAGGAUUUCUUCGGAAUGAAUUUGAUUAAGUUUAGUGGCGGACGGGUGAGUAACGCGUGAGUAACCUGCCUCUAAGAGGGGAAUAACAUUCUGAAAAGAAUGCUAAUACCGCAUAACAUAUAUUUAUCGCAUGGUAGAUAUAUCAAAGAUUUAUCGCUUAGAGAUGGACUCGCGUCCGAUUAGUUAGUUGGUGAGGUAACGGCUCACCAAGACCGCGAUCGGUAGCCGGACUGAGAGGUUGAACGGCCACAUUGGGACUGAGACACGGCCCAGACUCCUACGGGAGGCAGCAGUGGGGGAUAUUGCGCAAUGGGGGAAACCCUGACGCAGCAACGCCGCGUGAAGGAUGAAGGUCUUCGGAUUGUAAACUUCUUUUAUUAAGGACGAAGAAAGUGACGGUACUUAAUGAAUAAGCUCCGGCUAACUACGUGCCAGCAGCCGCGGUAAUACGUAGGGAGCAAGCGUUGUCCGGAUUUACUGGGUGUAAAGGGUGCGUAGGCGGCUUUGCAAGUCAGAUGCGAAAUCUAUGGGCUCAACCCAUAGCCUGCAUUUGAAACUGCAGAGCUUGAGUGAAGUAGAGGCAGGCGGAAUUCCCCGUGUAGCGGUGAAAUGCGUAGAGAUGG